rnacentral:rRNA from 1 species
AACGAACGCUGGCGGCAUGCCUAACACAUGCAAGUCGAACGAGACCUUCGGGUCUAGUGGCGCACGGGUGCGUAACGCGUGGGAACCUGCCCUUAGGUUCGGAAUAACUCCCCGAAAGGGGUGCUAAUACCGGGUAAUGUCUUCGGACCAAAGAUUUAUCGCCUUUGGAUGGGCCCGCGUUGGAUUAGCUAGUUGGUAGGGUAAAAGCCUACCAAGGCGACGAUCCAUAGCUGGUCUGAGAGGAUGAUCAGCCACACUGGGACUGAGACACGGCCCAGACUCCUACGGGAGGCAGCAGUGGGGAAUAUUGGACAAUGGGCGACAGCCUGAUCCAGCAAUGCCGCGUGAGUGAUGAAGGCCUCAGGGUUGUAAAGCUCUUUUACCCGGGAUGAUAAUGACAGUACCGGGAGAAUAAGCUCCGGCUAACUCCGUG